rnacentral:rRNA from 1 species
UACAGAGGUGGCGAGCGUUGUUCGGAUUUACUGGGCGUAAAGGGUGCGUAGGCGGUCCUGUGUGUCGGAUGUGAAAGCCCACUGCUCAACGGUGGAACUGCAUACGAAACUGCGGGGCUUGAGUGCAGGAGAGGAGAGCGGAAUUCUUGGUGUAGCGGUGAAAUGCGUUGAUAUCAAGAAGAACACCAGUGGCGAAGGCGGCUCUCUGGAAUGCAACUGACGCUGAGGCACGAAAGUUGGGGGAG